AAGCCGAAUGAUAGUCAUCAGGCUGAUGGGCCGUUAUAGGUCUUUGGUGAGAGUCACGACUGGGAGGCUGCCAACCCAAUGAUGAUAAUCAGGGCGAUUAGGGGGGUUCGAACUCAAUACAAGGAUCAUGGGACGACGUAGGGUCUUGGUCAGACUUGACGUGUAUGUAUGAAACAAGUGCCUGGUCCUGUGUGUACGCUUCAAGCUGGCUGUCGCGUUGUAAUCUGAGUGGAAGGUCUAGUACAUCGUAAUUAAACCUCACCGGCCACUUCACCCUGUUAACUGAAGCAGAGGAAAAUCCACGUCCGGCGAAAGUAGAAGUAAUGCAUUGCAUGUGCGUGUUGGAGACAAUCCAAACAACUGUCCUAACAAUCAUAGACAUUUGGACAUGACGGAUGCCUGGGCAUGUGUGUGGUUUGUCCUUUGUGUAGCUGUUCUGGGGACGAUAUUCCGCAGGGUCGUUGCUGUCACAUCCAGGGACCCCAAAGUGUCGCGGACUGUCUCAGUGUACACGAGCUGCCUGGGGGAUUCUAAUGAAUGCCAGCGUCCAGUGUCUGAGACGAGGCGCGUUAUUCACGAUGGUCGUUGCUGCAGUGAAAACAUCACCACAAUUAAUGAAAUCUUGAAUUGUCAAAACGAGCGAUUAAAGUCUGUGUACGGUACCAAUUCGCUUCUGAUAAAGGAACAUGAGCGGUACAGGAAAAGACGCGGGAAAAUGACAGAUGUGAAGUCAGACGACAAUAGCCCAGACGAGAAGGUCACGAGAGCAGACGACAAACUGGAAGAGAGUGCUGGCGUUACUACUACAGACAUUGGUGUCAGUGGACACCUUCUAGACACCAGCAUGUACAUCACAUAUCAUGAUAACUCGGGGGAGAAAAGACAAGAGAAAAUUACAGUAACGGAGUCUCAAUAGUGACGUCAUGUCUGUCUCACAACUAUACAAGUUCACGUAGAGAGAGAGGGUGCAUCAAAAAAUGACUGACAACGUGUGUAUCUUACAAUGUCGAUGAAUAUGUCAGAAUGGG